rnacentral:rRNA from 1 species
UACGGAGGGUGCAAGCGUUAUCCGGAUUCACUGGGGUUAAAGGGCGCGCAGGCGGAUUUGUAAGUCAGUGGUGAAAGGCUUAAGCUUAACUUGGGAACUGCCAUUGAUACUAUAAGUCUUGAAUGUUGUUGAGGUUUGCGGAAUGGGUCAUGUAGCGGUGGAAUGCAUAGAUAUGACCCGGAACACCUAUUGCGAAGGCAGCAGGCUAAACAAAUAUUGACGCUGAGGCUCGAAAGCGUGGGGAUCAAACAGG